rnacentral:lncRNA from 1 species
GAGAAGUCGGCUGGCAAUCAUUAACUAAUGCUUUCUCCCAGGGAGAAAAAUGCAGGUUUUAAAGAGGCCGGGACUGCAGGAUUGCAAUAGAAGAUUCCCGGUACCAUAA